rnacentral:lncRNA from 1 species
GAACUUUCGGUAUACUACUUUUAUAUGUGGCCUAUUUAUAUGUUGAUAAAUAGAUGUGAUAGUCAUUGUUUAGAAUUAUAUUACUAUACUAUCGAUAGUAUCAAGAGUUUAGUGUUAUCGAGUUUUCAGCUGUUGGAUAAAAGCAUGUUGUCACGGGUCAAUCGUUAAGAAAAAGUUUUGUCCGUGACAAUGUGCUGUCAAGAUGAUAGUGGUCCUCUAGGAUUGUGUGCAUUGAUGGUUGGUUGAAUAGUAUAAUAUAACGGAUGGAAAUGAUGAAAGGAUAAAUUUAACGACAGAAAACUCGAAAAUAUUAAUAGCUUAAUAUUAUUGAUAGUACAGUAGCGAGACUCUAUUGUUUGUAUAUAUAAACCAAUUAGAGACUU